ensembl:snRNA U6 U6 spliceosomal RNA
GUACUCACUUUGGAAGUACAUCUACUAAAAAAACAGAACAAUACAGAGAUUAGCCUGGUUCCUGCACAAGGAUGACACACAAAUUCAUGAAUGUUCCAUUAAAAAG